rnacentral:tRNA from 1 species
UCUAAUGUGGCAGACUAGUGCCAUGGAUUUAAACCCCAUUUAUAAAGAAAUUUCUUUUGUUAGAA